rnacentral:rRNA from 1 species
GACGAACGCUGGCGGCGUGCUUAACACAUGCAAGUCGAACGGAAAGGCCCUGCUUUUGUGGGGUGCUCGAGUGGCGAACGGGUGAGUAACACGUGAGUAACCUGCCCUUGACUUUGGGAUAACUUCAGGAAACUGGGGCUAAUACCGGAUAGGAGCUCCUGCUGCAUGGUGGGGGUUGGAACGUUUCGGCGGUUGGGGAUGGACUCGCGGCUUAUCAGCUUGUUGGUGGGGUAGUGGCUUACCAAGGCUUUGACGGGUAGCCGGCCUGAGAGGGUGACCGGCCACAUUGGGACUGCGGUACGGCCCAGACUCCAACGGGGGGCAGCAGUGGGGAAUAUUGCACAAUGGGCGGACGCCUGAUGCAGCAACGCCGCGUGCGGGAUGACGGCCUUCGGGUUGUAAACCGCUUUCGCCUGUGACGAAGCGUGAGUGACGGUAAUGUGUAAAGAAGCACCGGCUAACUACGUG